GAGGGCUGAAGGGCAGAGUCAUUAACUGGUUCAGAGAAGAGGUGGUUCAGUUUUAAAGGGUGCUGACCAAUCCGAAAAAUGCGGACACUCUGCCUUUUCCUGUUGGUGCUGCUCACAAUCCCCAUGUCAGAUGCGGCUGUACUGGAUAACCAUGCCGUGACUGGCAUUUUUAAAUGGUCCGAUGACGCCGCGAGGGGGAGGAUGGACCGAGACGGCGACACAGCCGUGACAGACCGCAAGGAGGAAGAGGAACAGAGUCGCGGCCGCAACAUGCUACG